rnacentral:miRNA from 1 species
AGCCUGUGCUUGUCCCUGCAG